CCUCCGACUUCUAUUCUACAUAUACCUGUGCACCACUGGUGAGCGCCUCCCGCUUGGAGACGUCCUGCUAAUGUGGGACCGAGGUGCUCCCUCUCUUUUAUACAACUGCAGCCUGUCUUGAUGCAUGUUUAAUGCUCUGCGGAGCGAAAUGUAAUACAACUUUCAACAACGGAUCUCUUGGCUUUCGCAUCGAUGAAGGACGCCGCGAAAGUGCGAAACGUAAUGUGAAUUGCAGAAUUCAGUGAAUCAUCGAAUCUUUGAACGCAUCUUGCGCUCCUUGGUAUUCCGAGGAGCAUGCCUGUUUGAGUGUCGUGAACUCUCUCGGCCCCUCGUCCCUUUUGGUAGGGACUUGGGUUCGGAUUUGGAYGCUUGCCGUGGCCUUCUGUGUGGCCUUUGGCUCGUCUUGAAAUGCAUCAGCUGGUCCCCUAAGCUUGGUUCAACAACGGUGUGAUAAGGAACGCUUCGUGACUGUGGCGCCGUUUGUAAUCGACCCUGGGGAGGGCCGCUCCUAAUCGUCUUCGGACAACGCUUUCAUGUCAUUUGACCUCAAAUCAGGUAGGACUACCCGCUGAACUUAAGCAUAUCAAUAAGCGGAGGAAAAGAAACUAACAAGGAUUCCCCUAGUAACGGCGAGUGAAGCGGGAAGAGCUCAAAUU
rnacentral:rRNA from 1 species